CACGUAGUUGGCCGGUGCUUCUUCUGCAGGUACCGUCUGAAUUCGUCCCUGCUGAGAGAGGUUUACAACCCGAAGGCCGUCAUCCCUCACGCGGCGUCGCUGCGUCAGGCUUUCGCCCAUUGCGCAAUAUUCCCCA
rnacentral:rRNA from 1 species